rnacentral:rRNA from 1 species
UUUAGUAGCAAUAUUGAGAUAAGUUAGUGGCGAACGGGUGAGUAACACGUAGCUAACCUACCCUAAAUUCUGGGAUAACGUACCGAAAGGGACGCUAAUACCGGAUAAGACAAGUUGCCGCAUGGCAGCAGGUUAAAAGAUGGCCUCUGUUUACAAGCCGCGAUUAAGGAUGGGGCUGCGGUCCAUUAGGUAGUUGGUGAGGUAACGGCCCACCAAGCCUGCGAUGGAUAGCCGGACUGAGAGGUUGAACGGCCACAAUGGAACUGAGACACGGUCCAUACUCCUACGGGAGGCAGCAGUAGGGAAUAUUCCGCAAUGGGCGAAAGCCUGACGGAGCGACACCGCGUGAAUGACGAAAUCUUUCGGGAUGUAAAGUUCAGUCGGUUGGGGAAGAAGGGCUUCUAUAUUAAUAAUAUAGAGGAAGAGACGGUACCCAAAAUGAAGCCACGGCUAAUUACGUGCCAGCAGCCGCGGUAAUACGUAAGUGGCGAGCGUUAUCCGGAAUCACUGGGUGUAAAGGGUGUGUAGGCGGCGAUAUAAGUUUCAUAUAUAAUGAUAGGGCUCAACCCUGUUUUUGUGUGAAAGACUGUAUUGCUGGAGUGACGAAGAGGAAACUAGAACUCCAGGUGUAGCGGUGAAAUGUGUAGAUAUCUGGGGGAAUACCAAUGGCGAAGGCAGGUUUCUGGUUGUCAACUGACGCUGAGACACGAAAGCGUGGGGAUCAAACGGGAUUAGAUACCCCGGUAGUCCACGCAGUAAACGAUGUUCACUAGGUGUAGGAGGUAUCGACCCCUUCUGUG